ACGGAUUAGAUACCCUGGUAGUCCAUGCCGUAACGUUGGGCACUAGGUGUGGGGGACAUUCCACGUUCUCCGCGCCGUAGCUAACGCAUUAAGUGCCCCGCCUGGGGAGUACGGCCGCAAGGCUAAAACUCAAAGGAAUUGACGGGGGCCCGCACAAGCGGCGGAGCAUGCGGAUUAAUUCGAUGCAACGCGAAGAACCUUACCAAGGCUUGACAUUCACCGGACCGCCUCAGAGAUGGGGUUUCCCUUCGGGGUCGGUGGACAGGUGGUGCAUGGUUGUCGUCAGCUCGUGUCGUGAGAUGUUGGGUUAAGUCCCGCAACGAGCGCAACCCUCGUUCUAUGUUGCCAGCACGUGAUGGUGGGGACUCAUAGGAGACUGCCGGGGUCAACUCGGAGGAAGGUGGGGAUGACGUCAAAUCAUCAUGCCCCUUAUGUCUUGGGCUUCACGCAUGCUACAAUGGCCGGUACAAAGGGUUGCGAUACUGUGAGGUGGAGCUAAUCCCAAAAAGCCGGUCUCAGUUCGGAUUGAGGUCUGCAACUCGACCUCAUGAAGUCGGAGUCGCUAGUAAUCGCAGAUCAGCAACGCUGCGGUGAAUACGUUCCCGGGCCUUGUACACACCGCCCGUCAAGUCACGAAGGUUGGUAACACCCGAAGCCGGUGGCCUAACCCCUUGUGGGAGGGAGCCGUCGAAGGUGGGACCGGCGAUUGGGACUAAGUCGUAACAAGGUAGC
rnacentral:rRNA from 1 species